rnacentral:rRNA from 1 species
CUACGGGCGGCAGCAGUGGGGAAUAUUGCACAAUGGGCGCAAGCCUGAUGCAGCGACGCCGCGUGGAGGAUGAAGGUUUUCGGAUUGUAAACUCCUGUUAAGUGGGAAGAAAGAUUGUCCUCUAAUACAGGGCAAAGAUGACGGUACCACUAGAGAAAGCACCGGCAAACUUCGUGCCAGCAGCCGCGGUAAUACGAAGGGUGCUAGCGUUAUUCGGAAUAACUGGGCGUAAAGAGUGUGAAGGCGGUUUUUUAAGUCAGCAGUUAAAUACCCCGGCUUAACCGGGGAGCUACUGUUGAUACUGGGAGACUAGAGUGCAGGAGAGAAGGGUAGAAUUCUCGGAGUAGCGGUAAAAUGCGUAGAUCUCGAGAGGAAUACCGGUUGCGAAGGCGGCUCUUUAGCCUGUAACUGACGCUCAAGCACGAAAGCGUGGGGAGCAAACAGGAUUAGAUACCCUAGUAGUC